AUGACUAACGGUGGUUCACACUUUAUUCAUGGUGCUUUCCGUAAAAUGCUUGCUAAAUAUGAUGUUAACCAUAGAAUUGCAUCACCCUAUCAUCCUCAAUCUAGUGGUCAAGUUGAACUUAGCAAUAGAGAAAUAAAAUUAAUCUUACAAAAAACUAUCAAUAGGUCCCGAAAGAAUUGGUCUAAGAAAUUAGAUGAUGCACUUUGGGCCUACAGAACCGCAUAUAAAAAUCCUAUGGGUAUGUCUCCUUAUAAGAUGGUUUAUGGAAAAGCUUGUCAUUUGCCUCUUGAGUUAGAACAUAAAGCAUAUUGGGCAAUAAAGGAACUCAACUAUGAUUUCAAACUUGCAAGUGAAAAGAGGUUAUUUGAUAUUAGCUCAGUAGAUGAAUGGAGAACCCAAGCUUAUGAGAAUGCCAAGUUAUUUAAAGAAAAAGUUAAAAGAUGGCAUGAUAAAAGAAUCAAAAAGCGGGAAUUUAAAGUUGGAGAAUAUGUUCUUUUGUACAACUCUCGUUUCAGAUUCUUUGUAGGAAACCUUCUCUCAAAAUGGGAAGGACAUAUAUAUUGUCGAAGAAGUCUACCGCUCUGGAGUUAUCAAAAUAAAUAA
rnacentral:rRNA from 1 species